rnacentral:rRNA from 1 species
UACGUAGGUGGCAAGCGUUAUCCGGAAUUAUUGGGCGUAAAGAGCGCGCAGGUGGUUGAUUAAGUCUGAUGUGAAGGCCCACGGCUUAACCGUGGAGGGUCAUUGGAAACUGGUCGACUUGAGUGCAGAAGAGGGAAGUGGAAUUCCAUGUGUAGCGGUGAAAUGCGUAGAGAUAUGGAGGAACACCAGUGGCGAAGGCGGCUUCCUGGUCUGUAACUGACACUGAGGCGCGAAAGCGUGGGGAGCAAACAGGAUUAGAUACCCG